UACGAAGGGGGCUAGCGUUGCUCGGAAUUACUGGGCGUAAGGCGCACGUAGGCGGCUUUCUAAGUCGGGGGUGAAAUCCUGGAGCUCAACUCCAGAACUGCCUUCGAUACUGGAAAGCUCGAGUCCGGGAGAGGUGAGUGGAACUGCGAGUGUAGAGGUGAAAUUCGUAGAUAUUGGGAAGAACACCAGUGGCGAAGGCGGCUCCACUGGCCCGCAACUGACGCUGAGGCGACGAAAGGCGUGGGGAGCAAACAGG
rnacentral:rRNA from 1 species